UUUUGGGUUAAUUUUUUAAGUCAACCAAUAUUUUGAAAUUGCUUAUCCUGUACUAAUUUUUCAAACGUUAUUCUAAAAACUUGAAAAAUGUAGAUAAUUCAAUAAAUAAGGUAAGGUAAUAAAUGAAGCUCGAGGUUUAAACUAUAUUCAUAACAAAGGUAGAUAUGAAAGUAGUAUCACUUAAAAAGAAAAUACAAUUAUCUUGAAUAAAAGAAUAUUUUUCACGUAGAAAAAAUUAUUUGUAUUAAAAAAAAACACAGAAAAAGUAAAUUGUAUGAAUAAACACACAAUGAAAACACAUAGAUCCUGUGUUAAAAAGUAAUAUAAAAACUUAUCAUAAGUGUCUUAGAUAUUAUAUAUUAUGUAUAAUUAUCUAAAAUAAUAUCUGAGCCAAAGCCAAAGCCAAAGCCAGCUCCGCCCCAUAUGUAUUUGUCAGGCCGGAUCAAUGUCACUCCCACGCGCUACUCCGGUCGAGUGCUGUUCGGUUCCCAUAGACAAACAAAUUAGAUUACUACAUCAGUACACAUGCUGCGUUUACUUUUUGGAUUGGAUUGAGAAUCCUGAUGAGUGAGAAUCCUAGGAUUGAGAGUGUAGAGUGGGAGUGGGAGUAUGUUGUUUAUUUACACUGGAAUGGAAGCAUGGAAUAGAGAUCAGAAUCUAAUUUAUGUGUUUACUUUGUCUUGGAUUGGGAGUAAAUAGUUUCAAAUUACAAUUUUAUCCUUAUUUAAAGAAUUAUAGUUUUUAAUUACAAAACUAAUAAAAAAUAUAUUUAAUGAAUAAUAUUU
rnacentral:lncRNA from 1 species